UACGUAGGGGGCGAGCGUUGUCCGGAUUUAUUGGGCGUAAAGGGUUCGCAGGCGGUUUUUUAAGUCAGGUGUUAAAGACUACAGCUUAACUGUAGAAAGCAUUUGAAACUGGAGAACUUGAGUUAAGGAGAGGAAAGUGGAAUUCCUAGUGUAGCGGUGAAAUGCGUAGAUAUUAGGAGGAACAUCAGUGGCGAAGGCGACUUUCUGGACUUAUACUGACGCUGAGGAACGAAAGCGUGGGGAGCAAACAGG
rnacentral:rRNA from 1 species